UAGCGGAGGAUCAUUAUAGAGUUUUCUAAACUCCCAACCCAUGUGAACUUACCUUUUGUUGCCUCGGCAGAAGUUAUAGGUCUUCUUAUAGCUGCUGCCGGUGGACCAUUAAACUCUUGUUAUUUUAUGUAAUCUGAGCGUCUUAUUUUAAUAAGUCAAAACUUUCAACAACGGAUCUCUUGGUUCUGGCAUCGAUGAAGAACGCAGCGAAAUGCGAUAAGUAAUGUGAAUUGCAGAAUUCAGUGAAUCAUCGAAUCUUUGAACGCACAUUGCGCCCAUUAGUAUUCUAGUGGGCAUGCCUGUUCGAGCGUCAUUUCAACCCUUAAGCCUAGCUUAGUGUUGGGAAUCUACUUCUUUAUAGUUGUAGUUCCUGAAAUACAACGGCGGAUUUGUAGUAUCCUCUGAGCGUAGUAAUUUUUUUUCUCGCUUUUGUUAGGUGCUAUAACUCCCAGCCGCUAAACCCCCAAUUUUUUGUGGUUGACCUCGGAUCAGGUAGGAAUACCCGCUGAACUUAAGCAUAUCAUAAACCGGGAGAGAA
rnacentral:rRNA from 1 species